UCCCGGGCCAAGCAAGCCCACCAUUUCGGCUGUCGAAUUUUCAGAAGAAGAAAAAAAACCACUAUGCAAGGCCCAUCGGCCCGUGGUUUUCCUCAUCUUUCUUUUACGCAAAGCCCUCACACCUCUCGAUUUUCACGGCCCAAAGCCCCAAACCCCUUGAACCCAAAAUUUUGCCCCCGAACGUCUCUCUCUUCCGCCGGGAGCAUUUGCCUCCCUCACUCAGUAGCUGCAGAGCAUUCCCUCUCCGUACCUGCAUUCUCCUCCCUCCUCACGUCGAAAUUUCUCGUGCGCCACAAGGAAUCAGGACUAUAUAAUCCACCAUGCCGCACUGCUCUUCACCAAAAUUCCCCUUCCACAUUACACCCUCAGAUUUCACCCUCUCAGCGCUCCCGCCUGCCUCCCGCUCCCGCCUCAGCUUCCCCUACCCCCUCCAAUGGCGGUAAGUUCCAAGUGCAUGGGAUUUCACCCGUUGUGGUCGUUGUUUCUCAUGAACUGACUGGAGUUUCCCACGGAAUCCUCGCGUGCUCGUGCUGUGUGUUCGAUUUCUGCCAUUUCGGUCUGAACCCGUCGGUUUCCUUCUGAAAUCACCGAGUUCCUAGUUUAUGCUCACCCGCGGCCACUAUUUGCGCUGCGAACCCAUCUGAUUUGAUCGAAUUCGACUUCUGAAAUCGCUUCAGUUGCUUUCGUUGACGCUCGCAUGGUGCGGUGUGGCCUCUCGACAUCAUGCUUCAUGGUUGCCAUCGGGGCUCUGAUUCCUUCUGUUCCAGCGAUUUUAUUUUGAGGUCUGAAGUUACCUAGUCUAUGGGCGCAUGUUCUAUGUUCCAUUUAACGAGUAAUAGUCGCCCUGAACCAUCUGUUUGCCUCGAUUCUGAGUUCUAAAAUUGUGCAGUUUCUGUUAUCUCAUCUCACGUGUUAGAGAUGGUGGGCGCCCUUAUUCCACCUGUUCCUUUGAUUUCGAAACCCAAAUCACCUAGGGGUUUAUGCUCGCAUGCAGUAUUUGAGUUUACGAAUUUGUCUGCAAUUUUUGCUAUGCACCUCCAUCUAUUUGGAGUUCUUAAACCGCAUAUACUUUUGUCAGUUUACUUACACUAAUCAUCUGAUAAUAUUAAGAACUGCCAUUUCGAGCACGUCUAUUUAGACUUGUAUGGUCAGUCUAAAACGGUCAUAUAUUGGCGAACAGAGGGAGUAUUUGAUUGCCGAAUGUCAGUAGUUUAUGUGUUUCCGUUAUCUGAAGGCAAUGACGGCGCUGUUCCUAUUAUGGAGCUUGUGCUGUUUGUUCCUAUUAUUUUAGACCAAAUGGAAUUUGGAAAACAUAUUGGCCUCAGCUUAGCAAUCACGUAUUGGUUAUGUAGUUUCUUAUACAGAUUUAUUUGUUUUGUGCGAUGGAGCCCUGAAUUGAUUUAUACAAUCUAGCCUAUUUUUCUAGUUUAGUUCUGUUCUAAAGUGGGGAUGCUUUAACUGCAGCCCAAAGGCUGGUCCGUCAUCGAGAACAGUUCCGGUAGCCUUCCCUUUGUACCCGCUACACGGAAGUGGUCGAGGCGUACCAAGCUAUAUUGUUUGGUUCUGUGAUGGAUAAUUCAUUGUUUGUGCUAGUUAUAUUGUUCUAUGAGGGGGAGAAUGUUGUGACAGUUUUCACUAACCACCCGUGCUGUAUUGCAUUCCAUUUGUGCUAGUUAAGGGGGUAGUGACCCUAAGAUGGAUGGGCUACAAGCUUUCAGUUAAUUUGUGGGUAGUGGGUGGCCUAAUUUUUAUGGUUCGCAAAUCCUUAAUGUCUUGAUAGUUUCCAGAUACUAACUUGCUGCAUUGUAUGUUUGUAUUGUCAAUUGAUGAAAUCAUGGUUUUAAAUUAGGAGAUCAACGAGGGGAUACCUGUAUCCACCGUUCUCGAUGCUGUUAAAGAUAAAAUGAAAGCUACAGCCCAGUCCGCAGAUUCCAACCCAGAAAAGCUAAGGAAGAUGUCUAAGUCCAUCGCUUUCCUGAAGGAUGUCCAAACAGCAUUACAUCUUGGUCGUGUUGAGUAAGCCAGAAACUCCUGAGGCUUGUCAUCUUUCCUUCCGAGCUGAUUUCUUAAGGAUCUCAUCUGUGUAUACAUGUUGGCAUAAAGGGCAGCUGUCUAGCCUGGAAGACCGACGAGAUUCUCUCUCUUUUUUUUUUUGUAAAUGUUACUCGUAAAACUUGUAAUAAGAAUAGAAAUAACUGGUGGCUCAGGACUUGAGGUCCGAGAGUGGGAGGUUGGGCGGCACCACAAACUCAAAAAAUAUACUGUAUUCCAUAUGUUCCAUUUCUUAACAUUUCUUAUUGCUGUCGUGGUUUCAUUGAGGUUAACAUUGUACUAGUACAACUAUUUUCCAACACGUGUUGAAAAAAGCUGCAAUUGUUUGUUAA